rnacentral:rRNA from 1 species
AUUGAACGCUGGCGGCAGGCCUAACACAUGCAAGUCGAGCGAGCGGCGGACGGGUGAGUAACGUAUGGGGCCUGCCCGAUAGAGGGGGAUAACUACUGGAAACGGUGGCUAAUACCGCUUACUUGCGGAUAACCCAUAUGGGAUUAGCUAGUAGGUGGGGUAAAGGCUCACCGAGGCGACGAUGUCUAGCUGGUCUGAGUGGAGGAUCAGCAACACAGGGACGGAGAAACGGACCAGACUACUACGGAGGCAGCAGUGGGGAAUAUUGCACAAUGGGCGCAAGCCUGAUGCAGCCAUGCCGCGUGUAUGAAGAAGGCCUUAAGGUUGUAAAGUUCUUACGGUAGCGAGGCGUUAACUGCAGAAGAAGCACCGGCUAACUCCGUGCCAGCAGCCGCGGUAAUAC